GGGGCUACACACGUGCUACAAUGGGUGGUACAAAGAGAAGCCAACUCGCGAGAGCGCGCCAAUCUCAAAAAGCCAUCCUCAGUUCGGAUUGGAGUCUGCAACUCGACUCCAUGAAGUUGGAAUCGCUAGUAAUCGCGGAUCAGCAUGCCGCGGUGAAUACGUUCCCGGGCCUU
rnacentral:rRNA from 1 species